rnacentral:rRNA from 1 species
GAUGAGCGCUGGCGGCGUGCCUAAUACAUGCAAGUCGAGCGAACAGAUGAGAAGCUUGCUUCUCUGAUGUUAGCGGCGGACGGGUGAGUAACACGUGGGUAACCUACCUAUAAGACUGGGAUAACUCCGGGAAACCGGGGCUAAUACCGGAUAAUAUUUUGAACCGCAUGGUUCAAUAGUGAAAGACGGUUUCGGCUGUCACUUAUAGAUGGACCCGCGCCGUAUUAGGUAGUUGGUAAGGUAACGGCUUACCAAGGCGACGAUACGUAGCCGACCUGAGAGGGUGAUCGGCCACACUGGAACUGAGACACGGUCCAGACUCCUACGGGAGGCAGCAGUAGGGAAUCUUCCGCAAUGGGCGAAAGCCUGACGGAGCAACGCCGCGUGAGUGAUGAAGGUCUUCGGAUCGUAAAACUCUGUUGUUAGGGAAGAACAAAUUUGUUAGUAACUGAACAAGUCUUGACGGUACCUAACCAGAAAGCCACGGCUAACUACGUGCCAGCCGCCGCAGUAA